rnacentral:lncRNA from 1 species
CUUCAACUUGCCAUUAUUGCCAUCUUAGCACCUACGCUAACUUCAUGAAACUAGGUUUCUGCUUGUUCUUAUGACUAUACACACGGGGUCUGGGGAAAUAACCAGAAGAGAUGGCUAGAGUCCUCCUGGGGCUAUCGUAAGGUGGGAUGCCUACCACAGCAUUGCUUUCGCCAAGCGGUGCCAUGUCCUCACCCGGGAUCCGAGCUGGCGAACCCCAGGCCGCCAAGAAGCGGAACGUGUGAACUUAACUGCUGCGCCACUGGGCCGGCCCCACUAUUUUUAUUUUUAAUAAAAUUUGCAUUUAAGAUGCCUUAUUUUAAAGCAAUAAAGCAUAACUCCUUAUAUGUUUAAAACUCCUGUUAAAUGUUAUAAAUUAACGUCAUUUUCUGCUAAUUUACACCCCUACAAAUGACAUGGAAGGGCCAGAGAGGAGGUAAAAGGGCAAGAGAGAAGGCAACUGACAUUACUUUGCUAAGCUAUUAGUAUAUGAUCAUUCCUUUUUUUAUUCUAGCUUUAUUGAGAUAUAACUGACAUGUAUUGUAGUAAGUUUAAGGUGUACCAUGCGAUGAUUUGAUACACAUAUAUAAUGAAAAAUCUUUCCUACAGUAAGGUUAGUUAACAAAUCCUUUACCUGACAGAAUUACCACUUUGUUGUUGUUGUUAUGGCGAGAAAUUAAAGCUCUGCACUGAUAGCAACUUUCAAGUAUUUAAUACAGUAUAGUCAACUUUAGUUACCAUGCUGUACCUUAGGUCCCCAGAACCUAAGGAUAUAUUUUAAGCUGACGUCUUUCAACUGAAUGUCUGUACCCUUUGAACAAUAUCUCCCCAUUUCCUCCACCCUUUGCCCCUGUAAUCACCAUUCUACUCUCUGUUUCUAUGAGUUCACCAGUUUUAGAUUCCACAUAUAAGUGAUAUUGUGCAGUAUCUCUCUUUCUCUGUCUGACUAAAUUCACUUAGAAUAAUGCCUUCAGGGUCCAUCCAUGUUGUUGCAAACGGC